AUGACAGGCAUCAGCAAGAGAAACAGUCAAGAGUUGUGUUCAGCAAUUUCUCAUCUCAGCAGCCUGGAAUCAUUGUCACUGCACUCCGACGGAUGGAGGACAGGUUUAUCAGGCUGCUUGGAUGGGCUGUCCUCACCUCCAGAAAACCUGCAGAGCCUCAAGUUGAUAGGAAAUCUGGUUGAGCUGCCGGAGUGGAUCCAGGGCCUAAAAAAUCUCGUGAAGCUGAAGCUAGAGCGGUCGAGGAUAUGGGAGCAUGAUGCGGCCAUACAAGUCCUUGGGAAUCUACCAAACCUGGCCACCCUACGUCUAUUGAAACACUCGUUCGCUGGUGAAGAGGUCCAUUUCGGUUUCCAUCGGGAGGCAUUCCCGAGCCUGAAGGUGCUGCAGCUGGACUGGAUAGGAAACCUCAGGUCGGUGGGAUUUGAAGAUGGAGCAGCCCCUAAGCUUGAGUUGCUGCAGUUUUAUAAUGGCAUAUGGAGUCCUAGUAUUGGUUUGUUCUGUGGGUUAGCAUAUCUCCCAAGCCUAAAGGAACUUAUGCUGGAGAGAUCGGACUGGGCGCCUAAGUUUGUGUACGACCUGCAAGGCCAGCUGGCAGAGAAUGAAAACAAGCCCGUUCUGAAGAGUUGGAGU
rnacentral:rRNA from 1 species